rnacentral:rRNA from 1 species
CAGUCGCCGCGGGAAUACAGAGGGUGCGAGCGUUAAUCGGAUUUACUGGGCGUAAAGCGUGCGUAGGCGGCUUUUUAAGUCGGAUGUGAAAUCCCUGAGCUUAACUUAGGAAUUGCAUUCGAUACUGGGAAGCUAGAGUAUGGGAGAGGAUGGUAGAAUUCCAGGUGUAACGGUGAAAUGCGUAGAGAUCUGGAGGAAUACCGAUGGCGAAGGCAGCCAUCUGGCCUAUUACUGACGCUGAGGUACGAAAGCAUGGGGAGCAAACAGGAUUAGAUACCCGGGUAGUCCCUGUCUCUUAUAC